rnacentral:rRNA from 1 species
ACAUGCAAGUCGAGCGCGAAAGCCCCUUCGGGGGUGAGUAGAGCGGCGCAAGGGCGAGGAAUACGUUCCUACGUACCCCGAGGUCAGGGAUAGCCCAGGGAAACCUGGAUUAAUACCUGAUGUGGUCCUUCGGGAUCAAAGGCUUGCUGCCUCGGGAGCGGGGAACGUCCUAUCAGGUUGUUGGUGGGGUAACGGCUCACCAAGCCGAAGACGGGUAGCGGGUGUGAGAGCAUGACCCGCCGCAUCGGGACUGAGACACUGCCCGGACUCCUACGGGAGGCUGCAGUAACGAAUCUUCCGCAAUGCGCGAAAGCGUGACGGAGCAAUGCCGCGUGCAGGAUGAAGCCCCUCGGGGUGUAAACUGCUGUCAGGGUUUAGGAACACAAUGACCAGACCCAAAGGAAGGGCCGGCUAACUUCGUGCCAGCAGCCGCGGUAAUACGAAGGGCCCGAGCGUUACUCGGAAUCAUUGGGCUUAAAGCGUACGUAGGCGGGCGCGCAGGCACCUUGUGAAAUCCCUCGGCUCAACCGAGGAAUUGCUUGGUGAACCGCGUGCCUUGAGGCAAGUAGGGGCUGUCGGAACGAUAGGUGGAGCGGUGAAAUGCGUUGAUAUCUAUCGGAACGCCGAAGGAGAAAUCAGGCAGCUGGGCUUGUUCUGACGCUGAGGUACGAAAGCGUGGGGAGCGAACGGGAUUAGAUACCCCGGUAGUCCACGCCGUAAACGAUGUGCACUAGAUCGAAGGGACUCUGACGUCGCUCUCGGUCGAAGCAAAAGUGUUAAGUG